UACGUAGGGUGCAAGCGUUGUCCGGAAUUAUUGGGCGUAAAGAGCUCGUAGGCGGUUUGUCGCGUCUGCUGUGAAAACCCGAGGCUCAACCUCGGGCCUGCAGUGGGUACGGGCAGACUAGAGUGCGGUAGGGGAGAUUGGAAUUCCUGGUGUAGCGGUGGAAUGCGCAGAUAUCAGGAGGAACACCGGUGGCGAAGGCGGGUCUCUGGGCCGAUAUUGACGCUGAGGAGCGAAAGCGUGGGGAGCAAACAGG
rnacentral:rRNA from 1 species